UACGUAGGGGGCAAGCGUUGUCCGGAUUCAUUGGGCGUAAAGCGCGUGUAGGCGGCCAGAUAGGUCUGCUGUGAAAACUCGAGGCUCAACCUCGAGCUGUCGGCGGAAACCAUCUGGCUAGAGUCCGGAAGAGGAGAGUGGAAUUCCUGGUGUAGCGGUGAAAUGCGCAGAUAUCGGGAGGAACACCUAUGGCGAAGGCAGCUCGCUGGGACGUUACUGACGCUGAGACGCGAAAGCGUGGGGAGCAAACAGG
rnacentral:rRNA from 1 species